rnacentral:rRNA from 1 species
CUACGGAGGAUCCGAGCGUUAUCCGGAUUUAUUGGGUUUAAAGGGUGCGCAGGCGGGAGAUUAAGUCGGCGGUGAAAUUUUGCAGCUCAACUGUAAAAGUGCCUUCGAAACUGGUUUCCUUGAGUGUAGAUGAAGGAGGCGGAAUUUGUGGUGUAGCGGUGAAAUGCAUAGAUAUCACGAGGAACUCCGAUUGCGCAGGCAGCUUACUAAACUACUACUGACGCUCAGGCACGAAGGCGUGGGGAUCAAACAGGAUUAGAUACCCUGGUAGUCCACGCAGUAAACGAUGAUUACUAGCUGUUUGCGAUACAAUGUAAGCGGCUGAGCGAAAGCGUUAAGUAAUCCACCUGGGGAGUACGUUCGCAAGAAUGAAACUCAAAUGAAUUGACGGGG